rnacentral:rRNA from 1 species
GUGAAGCCGGUGAAGGCUGAAGCCGGAAUACGGGGGAUGCAAGGGGUAUCAGGAAUCAUUGGGUUAAAAGGUGACGUAGGAGGCCUUAUAAGGCAGAGGUGAAAGGUUUUGGCUGAACCAAAAAAUGGACAUUGAUACUGUAGGGCUUGAAUAGUUGGGAAGUAACUAGAAUAUGUAGUGUAGCGGUGAAAUGCUUAGAUAUUACAUGGAAUACCAAUUGCGAAGGCAGGUUACUAACAAAUGAUUGACGCUGAUGGACGAAAGCGUGGGUAGCGAACAGGAUUAGAUACCCCGGUAGUC